UCCAGGUGCAAAAUGGCGCCCGCCAUUCUUCCGUACUGCAAGAUGGCGGCACCUGAGGGCGGACAAACCUCUCCGCCAGCCGCGCCUCGUCGCUCCUUACAGCCAGCCCGGAUUCCUGCGGGGCUCUCCCGGGCAGAGAAGGGCCGAGCCCCGGGAUUGGGACGCUAAGGCACGGCAGGGUGAGGCGGCGCAGCUCGGAGGCAGAGCGGAGCCCGCCCCUCUCCUCUGAGGACGCUGCCCGCAGCCGGCGGCUCCCGCCUCCCGUUUCCCGCCCUGGCUCGCCGCGGGAGGCGGGCGGAGGGCAUUGCCGUGCCGUGCCGCCCUGCCGUGCCGUGCCGCCCGCCCUGCCGUGCCGCCCGCCCUGCCUUGCUGCCUUGCCGUGCCGGCCCGCGGCUCUCCCCGCAGCGCUGGGCACCGCGUCUCCCUUCCUCACAGCCCCCGGCUCUCUCUGGGCGGCCCGCGCUGAGGAAGCGGCCCGUGUUGCCCACCCGGCACCGCGGGGCAGCUUAUUAGAGCUAAUAGCGCCUUGAAGAGCGCUCAGCUGCCUGGUUUUACCUCAGCUUGUUGGGCAGAAUUCCAGUGGGACGGCUUGUACUCCUUUUCUGAGGACUAUGCAAUCAGGAGCUGAGUACCAGACCACACUGGAGCUUGAGGUUUGGCUGUACAGACACAGGUCUGCUGGAAUGGGGAUGUGACAGAGGCUGGAACACCAGCAGUUCAAGCUGAAGAGACAAUCGCUGCCAUAAUAUCCUGUGCACAUCUCCAAGCACCUACUAAAAUAUCUUCCGUGAUUUCCUUUCCUCCUUACCUUGAAAAUUUCCCUGCACUGUAAGUAAUUUUAUCCUGCUUUAAGCAUAAGCACUGUUUCAAACUAUCAAAAUUGUAUAAGCACCUGUCCAACUCUCACUCAGGCUGUGCUGACUUUUGGAAGAAGUGUUCAGCUGGUUUGGCCAGCAGAUUCACCUACCAGACAGACAUGCUUACAGCUUUCUGACAGUUCUGAGUCCCAGCAUAACAGUGAAAAAUCCUGUUUUUCCUGAUUUGCUG